GCAUAUCAAUAAGCGGAGGAAAAGAAACCAACAGGGAUUGCUCUAGUAACGGCGAGUGAAGCAGCAAUAGCUCAAAUUUGAAAUCUGGCGUCUUCGACGUCCGAGUUGUAAUUUGUAGAGGAUGCUUCUGAGUGGCCACCGACCUAAGUUCCUUGGAACAGGACGUCAUAGAGGGUGAGAAUCCCGUAUGCGGUCGGAAAGGCGCUCUAUACGUAGCUCCUUCGACGAGUCGAGUUGUUUGGGAAUGCAGCUCUAAAUGGGAGGUAAAUUUCUUCUAAAGCUAAAUAUUGGCCAGAGACCGAUAGCGCACAAGUAGAGUGAUCGAAAGAUGAAAAGCACUUUGGAAAGAGAGUUAAAAAGCACGUGAAAUUGUUAAAAGGGAAGGGAUUGCAACCAGACUUGCUCGCGGUGUUCCGCCGGUCUUCUGACCGGUCUACUCGCCGCGUUGCAGGCCAGCAUCGUCUGGUGCCGCUGGAUAAGACUUGAGGAAUGUAGCUCCCUCGGGAGUGUUAUAGCCUCUUGUGAUGCAGCGAGCGCCGGGCGAGGUCCGCGCUUCGGCUAGGAUGCUGGCGUAAUGGUCGUAAUCCGCCCGUCUUGAAACACGGACCAAGGAGUCUAACAUCUAUGCGAGUGUUCGGGUGUCAAACCCCUACGCGUAAUGAAAGUGAACGGAGGUGAGAACCGCAAGGUGCAUCAUCGACCGAUCCUGAUGUCUUCGGAUGGAUUUGAGUAAGAGCAUAGCUGUUGGGACCCGAAAGAUGGUGAACUAUGCCUGAAUAGGGUGAAGCCAGAGGAAACUCUGGUGGAGGCUCGCAGCGGUUCUGACGUGCAAAUCGAUCGUCAAAUUUGGGUAUAGGGGCGAAAGACUAAUCGAACCAUCUAGUAGCUGGUUCCUGCCGAAG
rnacentral:rRNA from 1 species